rnacentral:ncRNA from 1 species
GCCCCUCAGAGACUUAACCUUUAACAGGUUGGAUGGUAGUUUUUUAGCUAUCAUAAGACGCCGAGCACCCGAACCUGUAUCUAAGGAGGGUGGUGAUAUAGUCCGACAUACGACAAUAUAAAAUUUGUUUAGUCAGCCAGCAGCAGCGGUAAUACGAGGACCCCGAGCGUUAUCCGGAAUUACUGGGCGUAAAGAGCGAGUAGCCGGCUGUAUUAGUCCGAUGUUAAAUCCUCUGGCUUAACUGGAGGGCCGCAUUGGAAACGGUAUAGCUUGAGCGACUGAGAGGCACGCGGAACGUGCGGUGUAGGGGUGAAAUCCAUUGAUAUUGCACGGAACACCAAAAGCGAAGGCAGCGUGCUAGUAGUCUGCUGACGGUCAAUCGCGAAAGCGUGGGGAUAAAAAAGGAUUAGAUACCCUUGUAUUCCACGCCCUAAACUAUGCUGACUAGCUAUCGGGAGCAUCG